rnacentral:rRNA from 1 species
ACCUACGGGGCGCAGCAGUGGGGGAUAUUGCACAAUGGGGGCAACCCUGAUGCAGCGACGCCGCGUGAGCGAUGGAGUACUUCGGUAUGUAAAGCUCUGUCAGCAGGGAAGAGAAUGACGGUACCUGACCAAGAAGCCCCGGCUAACUACGUGCCAGCAGCCGCGGUAAUACGUAGGGGGCAAGCGUUAUCCGGAUUUACUGGGUGUAAAGGGAGCGUAGACGGCCAUUCAAGCCAGAUGUGAAAGCCCGGGGCUCAACCCCGGGACUGCAUUUGGAACUGUGUGGCUAGAGUGUCGGAGAGGCA